AGUUGAGGUCAGCAAUCCGCCACGCCCAAAACCCAAUCUAUCCCCAUAAAUUUCUGUAGAGCAAUAGGCUCUCUCCACAUCUCCCGUCUUUCUCAACAACACAACUCUAUUCUUACUUUUAAUAACACAAGAAACUAACACAACUAACACUUGAUCCUCUACCCAAAUCCCCACCUUCUCUCUCUCUCUCUCUCUCUCUCUCUCUCUAUACCACUAAUGGCUUCCCUCUCUCUCUCCAAGCACUCUCUCCCCUCUCUACUUCCCAACCAAACCCCUAAAACCUCAUUUUCUCAUAACCUCUCAAUUCUCCCCAAAUCAUCACAAUCCGAGUUUUGUGGACUCAAACUCCCUUAUGCUACUUCCCUCUCAAUCCCAUCUUCUUCACUACUCAAGAGUUCCAUUUUUGCCAAGGUGAACAAAGGUGGGUGCCUCCAUCAUUUACAUUGAAAGAUCAGGAUGGAAAGACUGUGAGCCUCUCCAAAUUCAAAGGCAAGCCUGUUGUUGUCUAUUUCUACCCUGCUGACGAAAGCCCUGGUUGCACCAAACGGGUCAAAUCUCUUUCUUUUUUAUUUUUAUUUUUAUUUUUUUUCAUAAUAGAAUUAAAAAUUAUUUAUUUUAUGAAUAUAUAUUUUUAUUAACAAAUGAUCCAUUAUAUCAUGGAUUUGUAGUCACAUAUAUUUUAUUUGCAUACAAAUCUUAAGAAAAAUAAGUGUAAUUUGAUAAAUAAGAGAAAAAGGUCAGUACACAUUAACAAAAUUAGGGUCAGUGUAAUUUACCAUUGAAAUUUUGAAUUGUGACUUUAAAAUUAUAAAAAUUUAAAUGCAAAAGAAAUUAAAGAUUUGAUCCAUGAUAUGAUUGAUCAUUUGUUCAUAAAAAGGACCAUGUGAACAAAUCAAACAUAAAAAUAGAAUUAAAAUAUCAUCCUUUUUAUGAUGGAUCAUUUGUUUGAUUUGAUUUGAUUCAUGAUAUGAUAGAUCAUUUGUUCAUAAAAAGAGCCAUAUGAACAAAUCAAACAUAAAAAUAGAAUUAAAAUAUCAUCCUUUUUAUGAUGGAUCAUUUGUUCUUAUUCAUAAAAAGGACCAUGUGAACAAAUCAAACAUAAAUAUAUAAUUAAAAAUAUACAUAUAUUUUUAUGAACAAAUGAUCCAUUAUAUCAUGAUCAACUUGUAGUCACAUAUAUUUUAUUUGCAUACAAAUUUUAAGAAAAAUAAGUGUAAUUUGAUAAAUAAGAUGAAAGGUCAGUACGUAUUAACAAAAUUAGGGUCAGUGUAAUUUACCAUUGAAAUUUUGAAUUGUGACUCUAAAAUUAUAAAAAUCUAAAUAAAAAAGAAAUUAAAGAUUUUUGUGUGAUAAGUUUCGACUUUUGAUUAUUUGCUAAACAGAAUGAAAACUUCUCUCCCCUUCUUUAUUUUCUUUUUAUUUACUAAAAAUAAAUAGUUUGACUUCGUAUUCCAAAUAUUAGUGCUUUACCAAAUAAUCAUUCAACCCAGUCCAAAGCAACUAUCCAACCUAAUCCAUUACUUUUGGAUGCUUCCUAACGGAAAGGUCAUUGAAUUAGUCCUUGACUUUCUUCAUAGAAAAUGUACAUGCAUCAUCACCAAACAAAAUCACUAAAAAGGAAAAUACAUCGUAAUCUUUAAAAAGACUAAAUUACCCCUGCAGCAUUUUGUUAAAUCAUUAUUUCAGAAUGUAAAAUUGAGAGUAGCUUUAAGUGCAAAACUGUCAUUAGAGUAAGUAAAACAACACAUACCUAAUUACUUCAAAUAUCCAAAGAGAGACCUAAUUUCUUCACUUUAAAGAAAGAAAGAGGUGACACCUAAAAGUGAGUUGGCACUUGGCACUAGGCUUUAUUUACAAAAAUAGUAAUCAGCACAACUUAGGUGAAGCAAAUGAAUUGUACUAUUAAAUAGAAAUGAUGGUCCUUCCUAAUUAAUCCUAACCUACUCUGCAUUAUUUUGUUUUUCAAAUUUAAUGUUAAAGCAGUUAGUCGGCUUUCAGAGGGCCCACAUGAAAGAUGAUAAUAACAAAUGUUUGUUGAAAGGUUGGUCAUCUGACCAACUUGAGUACCUCGGUAUAUUUCUCAGCCCAAAUUUGUGUCUCAUGACACAUGUUUUUUUGUACCAUAUCGGACUGGGGGUUCUGCCUUGUAAGUUGUAGCUAAAAAUAAUGGUAGUGGACUAGUGGGAGUAAUUUAACAUUUACAUGUAAUUGGGUAGACAAAUGUUUUUAAAGCCUACGUAAAAUUCAUGUCAUCUAAUCAGUUUUAGCAAUUGAAAUGGUAAAGUGAAAAAAGAAAGGAAAAAAAAAAAAAUUUUGUGUAUGUAAUUUACUUAUUUUGAACAAAGUGAUAUGAAUUAAAAUCCAAUUCACACCAUAUUCAUUACAUAUCUCUUUCAUUGCUAGCUGGUAUGUCUAGCUUCUAAGAAGGCAAUGACUCCAUAUAUGUCCCUCUCUUCAUCCUUCUUCUAGAAAUCAAUCAUUGUACAUGUUGGAAUUUGAUGUUACACAAAUUUGGGAUUAAUUUAAAUGCAAUGAAAGAGAUGUGUAAUGAAUAUGGUGUGAAUUGGAUUUUAAUUCAUAUCAGUCCUUCACCUGUCUCUUCACUAGCUAGCUUGCGAAAGAGACCAACUACUUUUAAUCAGACUCACGAUGUGAUGUGAGUGUUACUGUCUCCGUGUUUCAGUCCACUCAUUCUCUUUCUUUACAGAGUAAUAAUAUUAUGAGACCUUUCUCAUAACAAUUCUCACGAACUCUUUUAUUUUUUAUAUUAUGAUUGUAUAUAAAUAUAGAGGAGAGAGUUUAACUCUUUGAAAGAUAAUUGUAUAAAGAUUAUAUAAUUAAAAUUUCGUACCAAAAUUCAUCACUUGAAACAAUCAAAGUUUUACACACUCUUUGUUUUGAUCGAAUUACACUAUUAACUUUGACCGUCUCAUAUACUUUUUUUAUUGUAUUUUGAACUGAUCUGUUUACGGUAGGACUGCAACUCGGGUGGGUUUGACGUAUGAAAACACGCCAUGAUAUACAAGAUCUUGAAAGUACAGGGAAAUUCAACAUCUCCUUUAAUUAACAAGCUUAAGAAUCCAUAUAUGAAUGGAAGGAAAUUUCCCCACUAUAACUAACCAAUUUCACAUAAUACUACAAUAAUACAUUAAUGUAUUAACAAGAGAAAUGGUAAUAUUUCACAUAAUACUACAAUAAUACAUAAAGUAUUAGGUUGUUAUCAUGACGGAUGUCGUGACCUAGCUUAGUUUUGGCUUGUCUGGGGUUGGUUGUUUUGUCAGUUUACUGUGGGUCUUCGUGGUACAUGAUAUUUGUAUGAGCUUGGUGAUUGCUUUGUAAGUGCAGUCGGGCAGGUUUUUUUGCCAGGGUACCAAAAAAAAAAAUAAUAAUAAUAUAUAUAUGGU